rnacentral:rRNA from 1 species
GAUGAACGCUGGCGGCGUGCCUAAUACAUGCAAGUCGAGCGAACAGACGAGGAGCUUGCUCCUCUGACGUUAGCGGCGGACGGGUGAGUAACACGUGGAGAACCUACCUAUAAGACUGGGAUAACUUCGGGAAACCGGAGCUAAUACCGGAUAAUAUAUUGAACCGCAUGGUUCAAUAGUGAAAGACGGUUUUGCUGUCACUUAUAGAUGGAUCCGCGCCGCAUUAGCUAGUUGGUAAGGUAACGGCUUACCAAGGCAACGAUGCGUAGCCGACCUGAGAGGGUGAUCGGCCACACUGGAACUGAGACACGGUCCAGACUCCUACGGGAGGCAGCAGUAGGGAAUCUUCCGCAAUGGGCGAAAGCCUGACGGAGCAACGCCGCGUGAGUGAUGAAGGUCUUCGGAUCGUAAAGCUCUGUUAUUAGGGAAGAACAAAUGUGUAAGUAACUAUGCACGUCUUGACGGUACCUAAUCAGAAAGCCACGGCUAACUACGUG